AUGAACGCUGGCGGCGUGCCUAAUACAUGCAAGUCGAGCGAACGGACGAGAAGCUUGCUUCUCUGAUGUUAGCGGCGGACGGGUGAGUAACACGUGGAUAACCUACCUAUAAGGCUGGGAUAACUUCGGGAAACCGGAGCUAAUACCGGAUGAUAUUUUGAACCGCAUGGUUCAAAAGUGAAAGACGGUCUUGCUGUCACUUAUAGAUGGAUCCGCGCUGCAUUAGCUAGUUGGUAAGGUAACGGCUUACCAAGGCAACGAUGCAUAGCCGACCUGAGAGGGUGAUCGGCCACACUGGAACUGAGACACGGUCCAGACUCCUACGGGAGGCAGCAGUAGGGAAUCUUCCGCAAUGGGCGAAAGCCUGACGGAGCAACGCCGCGUGAGUGAUGAAGGUCUUCGGAUCGUAAAACUCUGUUAUUAGGGAAGAACAUAUGUGUAAGUAACUGUGCACAUCUUGACGGUACCUAAUCAGAAAGCCACGGCUAACUACGU
rnacentral:rRNA from 1 species